rnacentral:rRNA from 1 species
AUUUAGGAUAAUGGGGGCAGCCCUGAUCCAGCCAUGCCGUGUGUGCGACGAAGGACUNNNGGUUGNAAAGCUCAUUUGCUUGGNAAGNAAUGGCCCCGGCCAAUACGUGGAGCUGCUGAUGGUACCUGCAGAUUAAGCACUUGCCAAUCACGCCCCAGCAGCCCCGGUAAUACGUAGGGUGCAAGCGUUAAUCGGAAUUACUGGGCGUAAAGCGUGGGCAGGCGGUUCGGCAAGAAGGAUGUGAAAUCCCAGGGCUUAACCUUGGAACUGCAUUCUUAACUGCCGGGCUAGAGUAUGUCAGAGGGGGGUAGAAUUCCGCGUGUAGCAGUGAAAUGCGUAGAGAUGCGGAGGAAUACCGAUGGCGAAGGCAGCCCCCUGAGAUAAUACUGACGCUCAUGCACGAAAGCGUGGGGAGCAAAC